rnacentral:lncRNA from 10 species
AUAUUUGUGGACAUUUACCACCCAAUGGUGGGCAGGGGGAGCGCAUGCUGAAACAAUAUUAGCAUCUGCCUCAAAAAUGAAUCGUUAUUUUAAGAAGAUUAUGUCUGAAGACCACAAUUUAAUAGCUAAACACAUAGGCACUUAAAGACUGCAUUUCCUGGCAUCCCUUGAAGCUAGGUCCAGAAUAGAUGUGAUAAUCGCUGCAGGAGCAUCUUAUGCUGGGAAUGGUAGAGGAUUUACAUUGAUCAUCCACUAUGUUCCAGAUACUACAUGAUACUAACAAGACAACAGGAGAAGUGAUAUCAAAAGACAACGACUACACCAAAAUUUGGAGAAAAAGGUGAAUCCAGACAGUCACAGGUGAGAUCUGCCGACCUGGAGCAGAGCUGCUAGAU